rnacentral:rRNA from 1 species
AGAGUUGAUCAUGGCUCAGAACGAACGCUGGCGGCGUGCCUAACACAUGCAAGUCGCACGAGAAAGGGCUUCGGCCCGAGUAAAGUGGCGGACGGGUGAGUAAUGCAUGGAUAACCUGCCUUCGAGUGGGGAAUAACCCGGGGAAACCCGAGCUAAUACCGCAUAAUGCAGCGGCAUCGCAAGAUGACAGUUGUUAAAGGAUUUAUUCGCUUGAAGAGGAGCUUGCGGCAGAUUAGCUAGUUGGUAAGGUAAUGGCUUACCAAGCUACGAUCUGUAACCGGCCUGAGAGGGCGGUCGGUCACACUGACACUGAAUAACGGGUCAGACUCCUACGGGAGGCAGCAGUCGGGAAUUUUGGGCAAUGGGCGAAAGCCUGACCCAGCAACGCCGCGUGAAGGAUGAAGUAUUUCGGUAUGUAAACUUCGAAAGAAUAGGAAGAAUAAAUGACGGUACUAUUUAUAAGGUCCGGCUAACUACGUGCCAGCAGCCGCGGUAAUACGUAGGGACCAAGCGUUGUUCGGAUUUACUGGGCGUAAAGGGCGCGUAGGCGGCAAUUCAAGUCAUCUGUGAAAUCUCCGGGCUUAACUCGGAACGGUCAGAUGAUACUGCUUUGCUAGAGUGCAGAAGGGGCAAUCGGAAUUCUUGGUGUAGCGGUGAAAUGCGUAGAUAUCAAGAGGAACACCUGAGGUGAAGACGGGUUGCUGGGCUGACACUGACGCUGAGGCGCGAAAGCCAGGGGAGCAACGGGAUUAGAUACCCCGGUAGUCCUGGCUAAACGAUGAAUACUUUGGUGUCUGGAGUCA